AUGGAUGAAGAAAGGAGCGUGAAAUGGGAGGAUCCCCCGGAUGACCAAAAUAAGGUUGUGGAGAAUAUGAAGGAUGAAACAGAGACACAUGAGACCAACAAGAACAGGACAGGAGGCAAGGCUAAACGUAAGUCCAGUGGCCGCGCCAAGAAGACUUCCGUGGAGGAAGACAGCAGCAUUGGUGCAGGUCUGACUCAGACACCCGGGUGUGGUUUCCGGGAAAGGGGAUCUAUCAUUGAGCAGCUGGAGAAGGAGGCUCAGAGGACUCUAAUGCCUUCUCUCAAGAUUGAGACAUGCUGUGCCCCAAUCCUCCUCUCCUUCCUGAGGAGUCUAACUGAUGAGCAAGUCCCAUGUCUUUUUCCAACCUCACAUACAACUCUGAAUUUAUAGUCAUAGUGCCCCUUCUAACCACAAAGGGUAUUUCAAACACUACACCUAACAUCACUGUAACCACACCCCUAACUCUUCCUGUAAAUCAAGAACAAAAUGUCUCAUGUACUUGCUAAUAGCUUAAUUAAAUACACUUUUAUUUUCCCUGACAUGGCUAUCUAGUGACUCCACUAACUCAACACCAGUGUGCAGGUAAAAUAUGUUUCCUUUCUUUUCUUUUCUCUAGCCAAUGGAGGGUGAUUCAGCAUGGCAUGAAAAAUAACGUAAGUCUCUCCACAUAAGGUUCUGGUCAAAAGUUGUGCCCUAUAUAGGGAAUGGUGUCAUGGAAUUACUUGAUUGACAAAAACAUUCCUCUGUUUGUUGGCCAUAGCUCACAUUCGAGCAGCUCUCCACGCUGUGUCUGAAGAUUGUUAAAGUCGUGACCCAGACAGCCCUCCGCAUUCUCCUACCAGCGCUAGCUCGUAUCAUGGGGGUGAACCUGAGGAGUGGGGCAACCUCCCCAGAAUCCCAGUGCUCUCUGACAGGGUCUGAGGAUUCCUUAGGCAGUCUGGAUGAGAGAGAGAAAAGGCUGCUGAUCAGUGAGAUGAACUACUGGACUAAGGAGAGGAGGAGGAAUGGCAGUGCAGGGUUCCGCCAAAAAUCCACUCGCAGAACCUCAUCACCAUGCUGUUCGCCUAAGAGGUAUGUUCACAGCAAUAUUUCAACUUAAUAAUUGCAAGACCUGACCCAUACUUAUCAUAAAUUAUUAACUUGGAAUUCACACCUUGUAGUUUUAAGUUCUGGUCAGAAAUGUUGCCACUGAGGGGGUGGGUCCAGGUGAAAGUCAUUUUUA
rnacentral:lncRNA from 13 species